UACGUAGGGUGCAAGCGUUGUCCGGAAUUAUUGGGCGUAAAGAGCUCGUAGGCGGUUUGUUGCGUCGGCUGUGAAAUCCCGAGGCUCAACCUCGGGUCUGCAGUCGAUACGAGCAAACUAGAGUGUUGCAGGGGAGACUGGAAUUCCCGGUGUAGCGGUGAAAUGCGUAGAGAUCGGGAGGAACACCCGUGGCGAAGGCGGCCCCCUGGGUUAACACUGACGCUCAUGCACGAAAGCGUGGGGAGCAAACAGG
rnacentral:rRNA from 1 species